CAUCAUGGGGGGCUUUCGUUCCUUUCAAGGGACAGUAGGGAUGAGAAGAGUCAAGGCCAGUUGAGAGGGCCAGGCAGGGAGAGCUACCUGUACAGGAAACAGCUCCAGGAAAACAGCUGGGUUGGGUGUGGCAGGAAACAGGAAGCAAGGUCAGGAAGGGGGUGGGGCUGGAAGUAGGUUUUAAGCCCUGUCAGCUCUGCACUGGGGUAUUUAAAGACAAGGAGGAGCUGCUUCUGAGUAUGGGAGUCAGGAGUUCUCCAGGAGAGGGAACUGGCUGAAUGCAGCAAGCCAGGAGGAGGACUCAGGGAAGCAACAUGAUUAUGCAAUGCAUGCAACUGCCGUUGAAUCUGGACUGGAAGCCGUAGCAGUGAAGAACCACAAGAAACCAAAAGCAAAAGGAAGCACUCUGCUUGAAACCUCCUUUGUCAUCAGAGCAGAGGAGAGGAUGGGCACCUGUCUCCCCAUCUGCAGGUACAACUGGUCCUCCAAUUGGCCGGAACCUGUUGUCUUCCUCUGGCUACGCCUGCGGUUGGUUGGACUCAAGUCUGCCUUACAAGUUUCCUCACUAGAUCUGGGCAAGGAUUUCAGCAGAUGGUUC